UUUCUUACAGUUUUAUUGCGAUAUUUAAACAAAAACAGCUUCCAAAGCUAAUUUUAGUUUAGUAUAUAGUUAAAUAUAUUAAGAGAAACAUGUUUUUAAUAUAUUUUGUGCUUGGGAUUUUGUUACAUUCAUCUUCUGCUUGUAUAACUCAAGAUGAAUGCAUAUCCAGUAUUCACGACGUCUUAAUCACCUACGAUAAACGCCACACUGACCUGGAAUUAAUCCUAGCAAAACACCUCGUCGAAAUCUCAUCAGAUCUAAGCAACAAAAUAAUAUCUCUCAACAAUAUCAUGUUAUCAGGUCCGAACGAAUGUCAAAACUUUCUCGAAAACACAAUGGAAUACUAUAUAAAGCAAUUAAACGCAUCAUGCGAACAUAAACAACGCACGCACAUUUCGCACGAUGUUUGGGACAAAUUCCAAUCACUGAAUCCGCAUUUCUUUGAAGUGACACGCAAGGAAGAAGUUGUAUUUGUUUGCGAUAUUGUUGUAUUGAUUUUGAAUGAUUUUUGUUCAGUUGUUCAGGAAGAAAUCGAUAGUUUGCUAAAUUGUAAGUUUUUGGAGAAGUUUGAUAGCGUUUUUGUACAACCAUGGGUGGAAUGUGUUGGUAAAAUAUCGGCGUCUUAGUUUUGCAUAGUUUUAUAAGGGUUUUGGUUGUUUAAAUAAUGUUUUAAAGGGUUUUAAUGAAAAAUUUCAAGAAUUUAUUUUAGUUUUAAUGGUUUACUAUAGGCAACCUUCAUUACACCAAAAAUUAACAAGUUGUUUGUGUAAGAUUUCUCAGUUUUUUCGUGUUUUUGGUGGUUUAGAGCAAAUUAUAUAAUUAAAAAUAAAUAAAAACAUUAGAAAAUACUUCCUGUAAUUGUUUUGUAUCAAUAUUUAUUGUUUAAACAUAGUUUUUAAUGAAAUAAACGAAAAAAUGUAACAUUUA